AGAGUUUGAUCCUGGCUCAGAUUGAACGCUGGCGGCGUGCCUAACACAUGCAAGUCGAGCGGUAACAGGUGUAGCAAUACAUGCUGACGAGCGGCGAACGGGUGAGUAAUGCUUUGGAAUCUUCCCAGUAGUGGGGAAUAACCAGUCGAAAGAUUGGCUAAUACCGCAUACGUCUGUAAAGGGAAAGCGGGGGCUCGUAAGACCUCGCGCUAUUGGAUGAGCCAAAGUCGGAUUAGCUAGUUGGUGGGGUAAUGGCCUACCAAGGCGACAAUCCGUAGCUGGUCUGAGAGGACGACCAGCCACACCGGAACUGAGACACGGUCCGGACUCCUACGGGAGGCAGCAGUGGGGAAUAUUGGACAAUGGGGGAAACCCUGAUCCAGCGACGCCGCGUGUGUGAAGAAGGCCUGCGGGUUGUAAAGCACUUUUAGUGGGGACAAAAAGCUACGGAUUAAUACUCUGUGGUCUUGAUUUAACCCAAAGAAAAAGCACCGGCUAACUCUGUGCCAGCAGCCGCGGUAAUACAGAGGGUGCGAGCGUUAAUCGGAAUUACUGGGCGUAAAGCGCGCGUAGACGGUUUUGUAAGUCAGAUGUGAAAUCCCUGGGCUCAACCUGGGAACUGCAUUUGAUACUGCAUGGCUAGAGUAUGGAAGAGGGAAGUGGAAUUUCCGGUGUAGCGGUGAAAUGCGUAGAUAUCGGAAGGAACACCAGUGGCGAAAGCGACUUCCUGGUCCAAUACUGACGUUCAUGUGCGAAAGCGUGGGGAGCAAACAGAUUAGAUACCCUAGUAGUCC
rnacentral:rRNA from 1 species